UUUACAGCAUAAGCUGGAAGUGGUGGCGCACAGAUAGAAUCAAAUUAGAUCUUAAUGAAACUGCCAACAAGCACUUUUGUAAUUUAGAAGGAGCAAUGGAAGAAAGGCAUGGGGUUUGUUGCCUGUCAAUCCGGGCAUCAUGGAAUGCAAUUAUCGUUGGUCAGUGCAACAGGGACAACCAUUUUGGAUACAAAUCUAAGUUAAUGAAUUUGCUCAAAGCAGGCCAGGAUAGAUGUUUUUGGCUGUUCGGAUGAAGCAAGAGGUAUGCGCUCUAGCCUCUAUAUCCCCACAUCUGUUGAUGCUAAUAUAUUUUGAAGAUUUCUUUGAUCAACCCUUGCCUGAUUUAUGUUCAAUGUGCCAAACUGUUGGCAGAUGCCAUGGAUUGGAGAUGAAAUAGUCUAAUAGAUGUGUUUGUUUAACAUGUUAUGUGUUUUUUUGCCCGACAUUCGUAUUUAGUUCCUCUCAGUUGGGAUUCCUAAUAUCUUACAUGGCGGUGCUGUAAGUAUGCCAACAUCCGUUGUGUUUCACGCUUUGUUGCUUUGAGAAUUGACAUGAGCUUUUUUAUUUUUCUUGAAAGUUGGUAAUGGUAUCUAUUCCAUUUGA